GGUGGGAUCAUUACACUUUUCCAACAAACAACAACAGAAACAGUCUUAAAACAACUGUCUCUUCAACCCGAGUGAACUCUGUUUUUCAUACAUCAAACCCGUUCUCUAUUCAAUAAUGAUAGCACUGAAAGGAAGAUUUUAGUGGAUUCAUACUUCGGUUCGGUGAGAGAGAGUAAGAGUCUCAAUCGGUCAGUCUCUUCGGAGAUUGCACUUCAGUACUGUUGGUUGAGAAGAGAGCUUUUCUCACUGUAUUUCAUAAUUUUUAACCCAUUGUAACCAUUACAAAAUUGAACUGUGAUUGUGAGUGGUGUCAAAACCUCCUCAAUCUCACACUAUAUCUUAAUUGUUAUUUGAACAACUCUUAACAACGGAUAUCUAGGCUCUCGGGUCGAUGAAGGCCGCAGCGAAAUGCGAUACGUAAUGCGAAUUGCAGAAUUCAGUGAGUCAUCAAAGCGCUUAACGCAACUUGCGCCGUUGGGGAACCCUGACGGCAUGCCUCUUUGAGUAUCGUUUCAACACAUCUCUCAGGACUCUCUUUUUUACGAGUAAAAGAGGGAGAACGAUUGAGGAGAGUAUACGAGUUUCUCUCUGAUUUCUACUUUCGGUAGAAUUUGAGAGUGACUUCAGUUGAUUCCAAUACAUGCAAGUGUUCCGCUCAUUUUAACCGAUGAAUUCGAUCAUUCGUUUUAUACUGACCGGUGCUUUGAUAAUUGAUUUUAUUAUCAUACAUUUUGAAGCAUUCCGUGUCUGAAUGUGUCGAAGGAACAUAUCUGUAUUGUCAGUAACAGUAAUGAACGUGAGAGAGUAAAAUCUCUGACAUAAAUUAUGAAUCUGAUCUCAGAUGAAGCAAGAAAACCCGCCGAAUUUAAGCAUAUUAUUAAGCGGAGGAGAAGAAACUAACAAGGAUUCCCUUAGUAACGGCGAGUGAAGAGGGAAGAGCUCAACGUUAAAAUCGAUCUAUCAAGCGAUAGUAUCGAAUUGUAAUCUCGUGACCAUUGCUCAGCUUCGACUCAGAUAGAAAUCUCUUGAAACAAGGUCUCAGAGAGGGUGAGAAGCCCGUAACUGAUCUGAAGUCUGCGAGGCGUACGACAGUGGUUUACCGAGUCGAAUAGCUUGGGAAUGCUGUUCUAAAUGGGUGGUAAAUUUCAUCUAAAGCUAAAUAUUCCCGAGAGACCGAUAGCGAACAAGUACCGUGAGGGAAAGAUGAAAAGAACUUUGAAAAGAGAGUUAAAAAGUACUUGAAAUUGUUAAGAAGGAAGCACUGAACACCAGUGGUGCUUUUCGUCUAUGGGUACGUCGGUACGGUUGAAACGGGUAAACUUCAACGUUAAAGUGAAGGUAAACUGUUUUUCUCAGCUGCCACGUAUUCUCGGAUGGAGAGUGAGUCAAGAUCAGAUGUGUUUACGACUUUGAAGAAAGUGGUCGCAAGGUGCUCUCUUAGCAAUAGGAGAGACUAAUCUGGCGUAUCAUCAAACAAAGUUCACGUCUGAGGUAAUCGACAACGAUAGUACGCUCCGUAAGGCUGCAGAUGGGUAUUCCUAGUUGUAUGUGUGAUGUGGAGAGCAAAGCUCUGUAGCGUCCACAUAUGAUUACUGGGUGUUCAUUUGACCGCGUACUCGCGAUCUUGACAAAAUGGUUUUCAUUGACCCGUCUUGAAACACGGACCAAGGAGUCUAACGUAUAUGCAAGUAUUUGGGCUUAUAAACCCUGAUGCGUAAUGAAAGUGAAGCUUUACUUUUUGUAAAGUGAGGUAGGAACCGUAAGGGGCACUAUCGACCGAUCGUUCAUUCAUGAAAGAUUUGAGUAAGAGCAUAUCUGUUGGGACCCGAAAGAUGGUGAACUAUGCCUGAUCAGGGUGAAGCCAGGGGAAACUCUGGUGGAGGCUCGUAGCGAUACUGACGUGGCAAAUCGUUCGUCUGAAUUGGGUAUAGGGGCGAAAGACUAAUCGAACUAUCUGGUUGCUGGUUCCCGC
rnacentral:misc_RNA from 1 species